AUUGAACGCUGGCGGCAGGCCUAACACAUGCAAGUCGAACGGUAACAGGAAGAAGCUUGCUUCUUUGCUGACGAGUGGCGGACGGGUGAGUAAUGUCUGGGAAACUGCCUGAUGGAGGGGGAUAACUACUGGAAACGGUAGCUAAUACCGCAUAACGUCGCAAGGCCAAAGCGGGGGACCUUCGGGCCUCUUGCCAUCGGAUGUGCCCAGCUGGGAUUAGCUAGUAGGUGGGGUAACGGCUCACCUAGGCGACGAUCCCUAGCUGGUCUGAGAGGGUGACCAGACACACUGGAACUGAGACACGGUCCAGACUCCUACGGGAGGCAGCAGUGGGGAAUAUUGCACAAUGGGCGCAAGCCUGAUGCAGCCAUGCCGCGUGUAUGAAGAAGGCCUUCGGGUUGUAAAGUACUUUCAGCGGGGAGGAAGGGAGUCAAGUUAAUACCUGUGCUCAUUGACGUUACCCGCAGAAGAAGCACCGGCUAACUCCGUG
rnacentral:rRNA from 1 species